GCUCCAAUAGCGUAUAUUAAAGUUGUUGCAGUUGAAACGCUCGUAGUUGGAUGUUUUGUGCCGCCGAGGCCUGUUCAAGGAGUGUGGGGGCAAUUUGUUUUGCCACCGCGCUCUUGGGGUCAUACUGGCGUGGCGCAGCACUUCUCUCGAUUGCUUUGUGCGUGCCAUUUGUUUGGUGCGUGCUGGGCGCGGGGCGAUUA
rnacentral:rRNA from 1 species